UUGGUUGGUUUUUUCUUCUGUUCUACCUCAGUUUUCCGGAGCAGCGGUGGCCCUGCUGACCAUGGUCCUUUCAUCUGGGAUGGAGGGGCCAGAUCCUGUGUCAGGACAACACCAGAUCAAAUCAAGCUUGUGCUCAGGGUCUCCCGAGGCCCCUGGGAACCCCAGCUCCUUGUGUAGUCUAUAGGCGUCUCUUUGUCUUAGGGACACCAAGUCAUCCAGUCUUUAUACCGCGUGGAGGUGAGGAAUCUCCCAACCCUAAUCAUGCCAGGAGGAAAUCAUGGCUGAGGAGAAGGCCACUGUUUACUCAACUACACAGCAGUAUACGCAAAGCCAGAUUAGAACACAAGUCCCUGAGUCGCGCGCGUGUGGCUAGUGCUGCUGUCCUCUGGCUUCUCCAUGCUCCUGACUCCAAUUCUAGCAAGUACUAGGUAAGCCAGAGAAGCUCUGAGGCCAGGUCACUUCUGUGUCUCCAGCAUGGCUUCCUGGGCUCCUCCAGUGUUCUAUUUCCUUCUUCCCUUGCCUUGAGGGCGAGUAUAUGAUGAUGGCCCUAGGCUCUGCCAGUCAGAGGUGGAGUGCCCAGCCUUCUUAAUCCCUGGCAGUCACCGUACACAAAGAGGAACCCGCCUUGAGCCCCAUGCCACCCCACAUGGCCCCUCCUGGACUCAGCCAGGAUGUCCCCAAUUCCCUCCCCCACCAUCACUCUUUUCUGAAGAUCACAGCUUCCUGAGCCAGCUCUAGUCUGGACAAUGGCCGGAAAUUCCCCGCUCAGGCUUCAGGGUCAGGCACGUGUGAUCCGGGAGCUGUGGGGGACUGGCGAGUCAGGGGCUGGUUCACAACAGAACUGACUGAACCAAGUGGAGAGAUUUCUGUGUGUCUUCCCCUCACCAUGAGACCUCAGCCAUCACAACUGGGAACUCUCCUUGUACUUAGGUGCCGAGAAUUCUUAGGGUUCCGACGAGUGUGAUGGCCCUGUCUGCCAUGGAGUUCUCUACCCCUAGAGCACCAAGCAGCCGGUUCCAGUACUGGGCAGUUGGGCUUGGGGAAUCCACCACCGUGGACCUAUUGUGAGACACUUUUCUGUUCCACAGAAGCACCCCCAUGCCUCAUGCAGUCCUUAGGAAAUCCCUGAAAAGUCUCCACUCCUCCCUGGAUCUCCAUGACCCUGGAGCUGUCCAACAGGGACUCUUCAUCACCUUUGAGAUGCCGCAUGCCACAGGGGAGUCCGUGCUUGGUUCCCUUCUACUUCUGAAUGGGAAUCCGUGGGUUGAGGGGCCACCGUGGUCACGGAUGUGACUCGACCGGUAGAGCACUUGCCUAGUGAGUGUGAAGCCCUGGCUUCCAACUCUGGUACUACAGAGAAGCAUGCAGUGCCAGUGCUGAAGAGGAGGCGGGAGGAAGAGGAAGGUUCAAAGGACUCACGAUGCCCUGUGUCAACAAGAAUAAAACAGCCCCAAUUUCUAAAAAUUACCAUACCUUCCAGCAGUUCUGCUCCCAGGUAGCCUCCAAACAGAUUGGAAGUGGGUUUUCCGUCUACCUGGCCUGGACUAGGAUUUACAAGAGUGAGGAGGAGAGCGCCACAGAUGGGUGAUAUCAGCCGGGGGCUCAGAGCACUACUUACAGAGCAUGCACAAGAGCCUGGCUUCUGUUCCCAGAAUACAAGCAAGUAAAUAAAAAUUAAGGAACA
rnacentral:sRNA from 1 species